rnacentral:tRNA from 1 species
AUUUGUAUAAUAUAAAAAUUAUAUUUAAUUUCCAAUUAAAAAAUCUAGAUUCUAGUACAAAUA